rnacentral:lncRNA from 1 species
GCGGAGCUCCCAUUUAGGGGUCACAGGAUCAAGAGAAACGUGCCACAAGCUGGAGGCUGUGCAAAACUGGCAGCAAACAUCUCUGGGGAGAGCCCUGCACACAGCCACCCCAACCUCUGGCACCACCACUCUGAUCAGACAGCAGCCAUCAACAUCUAGUCGAGACCCUCCACUAGCAAAGAGAUUAUGACUCACUGAAGGCUCAGAUGAUCAUGAAUAAUUUUCAGAAAUAAAGUACUUUUAAAUUCAGAUGGAGUCUUGCUCUGUUGCCCAGGCUGGAGCACAAUCUCAGUUCACUGAAACCUCCGCCUCCUGGAUUCAAGCAAUUCUCCUGCCUCAGCCUCCUGAGUAGCUGGGAUUGCAGCUACAAUGCCACCAGGUGAUCGGAAUUUUUCAGCUCCAUUAAAAUCUUAUGAGACCAUCACUGAAUAUGUGGUCCGUCAUUGACCAAAACAUCAUGAUGCAGCUCAUGACUAUAGUUCUGUCUCAGAAGAUCCAGGAAAUAGUAGGUUCCUCCGAGGCCGGAAGCCCAUUCAGUAUCUUAGCCAAUGGCAUGUCUUAUAGAUAGAUACAAAUAGUGCAGCCUUUUGCCGAAGAAAUGAUAUCUUGUUUCCUUUGCCAGGAGCUGUGUGCUUGCAACAGUAAUAUAAAUGUGCAGCCCACAUUAGGUACUCAAACAACUUGUCAUUUGUUUGAAAAGGAGCCCUUUAUUUGACUAGAAGAAACAGGAGCCAAAUGAGCUUGAUUCCUUCUCAUGCCAGCCAGCAAUGCAAUUACAGGAAUGGGGACUGGGGAAGGACAAAUUGAUCAGUCACCCAUGCACAUAGGUGCAGGGGCUAUGUACUUGAAGUGGUUGGUUGUGGUUGGGACCCUGCCUUGGUCUGUUAAUUACAUAUUGCAAAAUGGGAUCUCAUAAGUGACUGUAAUUCAUUGGUAAUUUCUUGAGAAAUUACAAUUUUUGACAGGAAAGUUUUUUUUCUUUGUGUCCCCUGAUAAAUUCUCCUGGUUUGUAAA